rnacentral:rRNA from 1 species
GAUGAACGCUAGCGGCAGGCCUAACACAUGCAAGUCGAGGGGCAGCACAGAAACAGCAAUGUUUUGGUGGCGACCGGCGGACGGGUGCGUAACGCGUAUGCAACCUACCUUUAACAGGGGGAUAACGGAGAGAAAUUUCCACUAAUACCCCAUAACAUCGAUCAAGGCAUCGUGAUUGGUUGAAAACUCCGGUGGUUAAAGAUGGGCAUGCGUUGUAUUAGGUAGUUGGUGAGGUAAUGGCUCACCAAGGCUACGAUACAUAGGGGACUGAGAGGUGAGCCCCCCACGCGGGUACGGAGACACGGACCAGAAUCCUACGGGAGGCAGCAGGGGGGAAUAUUGGUCAAUGGGGGCAACCCUGAACCAGCCAUGCCGCGUGCAGGAAGACGGCUCUAUGAGUGGUAAACUGCUUUUAAACAGGGAUAAAGCACAGUAUGUAUACUGUGUUGAAGGUACUGUAAGAAUAAGGAUCGGCUAACUCCGUGCCAGCCGCCGCCGUAA